rnacentral:rRNA from 1 species
GUCCACGCUGUAAACGAUGGGCACUAGGUGUUCGGGGUAUUGACCCCCUGAGUGCCGCAGCUAACGCAUUAAGUGCCCCGCCUGGGGACUACGGCCGCAAGGUUAAAACUCAAAGGAAUUGACGGGGCCCGCACAAGCGGUGGAGCAUGUGGUUCAAUUCGACGCAACGCGAAGAACCUUACCUGGGCUAGACAACGUCGGACAGUCCUAGAAAUAGGAUCUUCCCGCAAGGGACCGGCGGUUCAGGUGCUGCAUGGCUGUCGU